AGGUCAUGCCUCUGCAGUGACCCAAGCCACUGCAGUUGGAUUCUUAACCCACUGUGCCACAGUGACAGCUCCCCAAAUUUCAUUCUUUUUUGUGGCUGAGUAGUAUUCCACUUACAUGUAUAACACAGCUUCUGUAUCCAGUCCUCUGUGGAGGGACACUUUGGUGGCCCCCACCCCUUGGCAAUUGUAAAUAAUGCUGUGGAGAAGAUGUUUAGUUUGAUGUCAUUCCUUUGUCUAAUUUUGCUUUUAUCGCUGGUGCCUUUAGUGUCAUAGCCAAGAAACCAUUGAUACGACCAAUGUUACAAAGAUUUUACCCUGUAUUUUCUUCUAGGAAUUUUACAGUUUUGCAUCUUAUAUUUAAAUCUUAAAUGCAUGUUGGUGGGUUUUUGUAUAUGGUAUAAGAGAAGUGUCCUGUUUCAUUCUUUGGCUGUUGUAUCUAGUUUUCCCAACACCAAUGAAGAAACUGUCUUUUCCCCAUUGUGUUUUCUUGGCACUGUUAUCAAAGACCAGUUGACUGUAUAUGCAUGGGUUUAUUUCCUGUCAUUUCAUUCUGUUCCAUUGGUCUACAUGUCUUUUUAAAUUGGAACUUUUAAUAUUAAUAAAACAAUCAUAAUUUUGUGUUUUUUUUUGCAUAAAUGAGUGCAUGUUUCAAAAUAAUAUAUGUCAACUUUUAUGAUUAUGAAAGUAAUAGGUCUUAAACAAGUCAUAGAGAAGAAAAUUAGAAUUUCUAGUGCUCCUCUCCUGGAUUCAACCAAUGGUGUUAAGAGAUGUUGACUAUGAGCUGUGAAGAACUUCGCAAAAUACUUGUUCUGCACUACCUCAUUUUUUCAUCCAACAACUUAACUAUGUGAAGAAAGUAUUAGUACCCCCUACAUGUGGAUGGGAAAGUGAUCCUCACAGAUUCAGUGGCCCUGUAUUAGUUGCAGAGUAAUAGGAUAAAGGUUAUUUUGAUCUGUGUUUAUUUUUUCACUUCCCGUCAUCAUAGCUAUGCACGCUAUUCUCAGGUAAAACUAGUAAUUGCCACAAAAAAUGAUUUCCUUCAUUUUUUAAGGAAAAAUGAAAAUCAUUACCUAUUUAAAUUUUUAGUACAUCAAGAAUGGGAAACCUUUUAGCUUACGAAAUUAUCCUAUUGGGUAUUAAUCAUGUGUAAUCUCACAAUGAAGAGCCCAUUAUGUUUCUUCGUAUUUCUCUCAUUUUUUGGUUAUUAUAUUGCUAUUAUUGCUAAUGUUCUCAUUGUGAGUAAUGUGUUUUGGACAACAUGAUUAGAGAAAAUAAUUAUCGUUAGGCUAUAUACUAAUAUGACUUACAUUAAAAUACUCUAAAUUUAAACGUAAUGGCUUAUUAAUAAGAGCUCUCUGGUUGCCAGAAGCAAAUGGGUACCCAUAUAUGCUUGAUGUCUCUAUAGAGGUUUUCAUGUAAUGACUUUUUAUAUUCUCCUGGCUUUGACUAACCAGAUCUCCAUCAGGGAGUGAAACUGAAGAAUAUGUGCUAUUAUAGCUUCAGUCUAUAUGAAUGGUGUAAUUUAGGUUUUGAGAACACUCCAGUGAAGACAUUUACCGUGUAUACCAAGCAUUAUGUGGUAGAAGGCUGAAAAGCAUAUGAGUUGAUCCACAGGAAAUGCAGAUUUUUAACCAUUUGCUCCAUCUAAUAUAUCUUCGUGAGUUGGGAUAAUUGCCGGAUGUAAUGAUCUCUUGAUUAUGAUUUAGCUAUUGAUUAACUACAUAGACUUAUGGGGACCCCGACCCAACGAUCACAUAAAAUGAACGUUUGCAAAACAUACAACAUACGAAAAAAGGAGCCAUUUCUUGUCAUUUAAGUUGUCCUUUUCUGGGGGGGGGGGACAUGUCUUUGCAGGAAAGAACUAUAUAGGGAGAAUUUCUUUCUUUUUAAACUUUCCAGACUUCACGAAGAAAUGAAUAGAGCUAAAAAUGACCAGGACUCCAUUUUCUGGUUCAGUGAUUUUUUUUCCCUUGCUAGAUGAAGACAAUCUUAUCUACAGGUUUAUAAUGCGAAGUCAUUAAGUAUAGUUAUGCAAUUUUAAGAAGUCCAUUUUAAUACGGAGACUUUUUAACUAAGAGGAGAAUUCAUAAACAUUGUACACUAAAAGUCCAAGGGUGUCAGAAGGUUAAAAUUAUUUUAUAUUUUUCAAAUCAGUAAGCCCAAGUAGCUUGUCUUUUUUCCUAAUGGUCCAAUUUACAUGUUUUUUGUUGUUUUUUUCUUAUUACUAAAAUAGUUUUCACAAUGACAAAUGGUCAACUUUGCAUAAUCCUGGGGAUAUGAAUUCUAGUGUACUCACAAAAGAGACAGAUCUUAAUUACAGACAAGUGUCUAAAAUGAAAGAAUGCCUCUGCUUCUUUGCCAAUAGACUCUGGGCUCCUGCCCCAUAGGGGAAAGGCAGACACUCUAAAAUGUGCAAAUGGAUUGUACUCCAAAAGGUCAAGUUUGGGUUUCCCUUAUGCAUAAUGGCUCAGUUGUGAGGUCCACCAAGACGAGCCUGUGUGCCGUAGAGUUUACCAUGAGUGGGAAAACUCACAGCCUUUGGGGAGUGAGGUAGCUGUAGAGGAGCUGGGUGGGUGGGGAGGAGGGAGGUGCAGCAGGAGUGCUCACCCAGGAUGCUAGCUGCCUGCCAGUUAUCCUGUCUUUCUGUUCCUGAACCAAACGUGGGUCUGCUUGUCUGCACACAGUGAAGCUGAUCUACUGACUUGACUUUGUUGACUGCGGGCCACUGAGCAAGGAGUCCGGGCAGCUGGUGCUCAAAAGGCCCCAACUUCCUGAAGGCUUUCAGGGAAAGCUUUUUAUAGACAGGAUGAGGGAGUGGUGGUUGUACAUGACCCACUCACGGACAUUCUUCUGAUGGGUUGUUGGUGAGGUAAUCGGGGGUCCAAGUCAUCAACCCUCUGGUUCCAGCCAGCCUGGGGUCUGCGUGCUUGUGGGCAGCGUAUUUCUUCCACCUGGUGGGGGUUUCAGUAUCUGCAAAACAGCCCAAAGGACAUGACUCAGAACAUCACCUAUAACCCUUGAGGAGGAAAUCACCAUCCUUGGCUUUGUUGAAUGGCUAUACUCUCAUUAUUUCAUCUCAUUUGACUGUUUCCCUUUCUUUCCGCCUUUUCUCACUCCUCUCAUUAAAUUUAUACUUUGACUAUAAAGUUUUUCUACAGACAAAAGGCAGGUAGAGGACAUGGUAGGAGGGUCAAUUCUGCAAAAGCCCCCAAGGGUCCUGCUCUGUAAUACUUCCUUAUCAGUAUGACCUGAAUUUGCUUGGGUCAGUAACCAGCCUGGGUGAGAAACUUACUCCCCCUCUCCUUGAUACCUGGAAGGAGGCUCGAACCCCACAUCUUGGUGAUGCGAUAAGAAAAGGAAAGAGAAGGGAAGCUCCUGAAGAGGAGAAACCAUGGCUGGGGCAGCCCCUACCCCCAUGUUUCUUUUUUCCUUGAAUGUGGCAGCUCUGCAACCGAGUCCGGAGCUGUGACAGCCUUUUCUGCCACAUGAGGUGCCCCUAAAAUCAGGGAGCCUCUCAACUCACCUCAACUGUUAACUACAUCUUGUUAGAGGAGAGGAAUAUACUCUGACUCACUGAAGCCACUGAUACCCAGCUUCCUGUUUCCUGCAACUGACGCCAAUCCUCUCCUGGCCCCAGACAGACCGUUUGUCUCCUUUCUUCUCCUGUGGUUCCUUCUCCUUUCUCUUGUCCCCAACAAAGGGUAUGUGCACGUAUGUGCAUGUAUGUUCGUGUGUGUGCAUAUAUGUGUAUGCAUGCAUGUGGGUACAUGUGUGUGCCCCUAAGUGCGCGUGCUUUUCUCUGACUUGUAACAACACUUUCUCUUUCUCUCUUUGAGAGUAGGAAGAAUAAAAGGAAUGGGGGCGAGUUUGGAUCGGGAGGACCUGCCGUGGUGGUUGGAGUAAAGAGGGAGGAAGGGGAAGCCUGGUACCCUCUGGGUAGGACUGGGUGUUGAUGGCAUCUGCCCCGAGAGGCUAGUUCCCUCCACAAAAGGGAAGCAUCACGUGGACCUGAAGAGCUCGGUGGGCUGCUGAUCAUUCUAGGUCUGUAACCUUGCGAUGCCACGCUUUUCCCCAGGAGAGCCAGAGGCCUUGUGCCAGCAGGCAGAGCCAGUCUAUAGGCCAUGGACUGCAAGCCACGGUUGCAUCCCCCGAUCACCCACUUGGCUGCAAAGGGCAGCAAGAAACACUCGGGAGGAGCAGCAGCUGGUUCCCAGUCAGGAUGGAAAGAGCCCUGUGCCAGAGCUGUCAGCCCUCUGGCUGUUCUGUCCCAUCUGGCCUGGGCCCCUCUAGUUCCCAAAGUGGGACGAGUUGCCAUUGUGGCUUAGCCAGUUAAGAACCCAAAUAGUAUCCACGAGGAUGUGGGUUCGAUUCCUGGCCUCGGUCAGUGGGUUAAUGACCCGGCAUUGCUGUGAGCUCUGGUGUAGGUUAUGGAUAUGGCUCGGAUCUGGCGUUGCUGUGACUGUGGCGUAGACCAGCAGCUGCAGCUCUGAGAGGACCCCCUAGCCUGGAAACUUUCGUAUGCCGCAUCA
rnacentral:lncRNA from 1 species